rnacentral:rRNA from 13 species
GGUUGCGAUCAUACCAGCACUAAUGCACCGGAUCCCAUCAGAACUCCGCAGUUAAGCGUGCUUGGGCGAGAGUAGUACUAGGAUGGGUGACCCCCUGGGAAGUCCUCGUGUUGCAACCC